AGCUCAGACAGUUGCGGACGGCGUUUUGCCGUAUGAGGAAAGUCCGAGCAUCGCAGGGCAGGGUGCCGGGUAACUCCCGGUGGAGGCGACUCUAAGGAAAGUGCAACAGAAAAUUACCGCCGCUUAUUCAAGCGGUAAGGAUGAAAAGGCGAGGUAAGAGCUCACCGGUGUCCGGGAGAUCGGACAGCCGUGUAAACCCCACCCGAUGCAACUCUGACAGAGAACUAAGUUUGCCCGACAUUCUCGAAAAGAGGCUGGAGGUGCGCAGAAAUGCGCAUCGUAGAUAGAUAACUGUCUGAUACAGAACUCGGCUUACAGAGCUGCUCAU
rnacentral:RNase_P_RNA from 1 species